CUGUAGGAGGCGCCAGAGAGGCACGAGGGCGCGGCGGCGUGCUGGGGAGGCGGGGUGAUGGCAGCUGCUUUGUGUGAUGGGAGUUGGGGCAGGCGGGUGGCGGUGGCUGCUGCCCGUGGAAAAAGGAGGGCCUUACACCGGUCCUUUAGCUCUGUGGAAGAAUAGUUCUCACAGGCUUGACGUCCCAGUGCCUUAUGAGAGUGCCAUUACAAUGAACAGAACUGCUUUUUUUUUUUUUUCCAUUUCCUGUUUCUCUAAAUAAACAAAGCUAGUUAGAUUGGAAUACAUUAUAACUUCUGCAGCGAGCUUCUCUGCUCGCUGAUAAGGUUGCUAAAGGCUAUGAUUUGCAUGGCAUUUCCGAGCUCCUCGUCAUUAGGACACGUUACCAACGUAACAAUUUGUCUGUCUGUCUCCCAGCAGCAGCGCAGAAGGUGCCUUAGGAACGCUGUGCCAUGGGGUGAGCAGCCUGCGUGGGCCGAACCUGUCACUCAACAGGGUGGCAGCGACUAAGGAUGUGGUCCCAUUACAUGGUUCUGCGCCAAGAACUUUGUGCACAGGGCCAACCAUAGAGGGAAACACUGAUAGCAAAAAGGCAGAAGUAUUUUUCAGCAUUGCAAGCCUCAGCCAACCUUCAGCCCAAAAAGCGUGACGUGGAACUGAGCGCCGUGCAGGACUGCAGAGCGCCGUGGAGAGACUCCGAAGAGCAGCAGCUCAAUGUGCAGAACACAGGCGGGAGGAAACAGGAAACCAUUCCCACAGCUGCAGCACUUGCUGUAUUCUGGUGGUAUUGCUUGGUUUCUGCAGUCCAGGUUCUCUAACCUCGUUCUAGUAAACAGUGAGGAAGGAGGAUAUAAGGGCUAUCUAUACCUGUGAUAUGACUUAGGCAGCUGUUGCAGGAGCUGAACAGAUUCCUAAAUAAGCCAUGUAGUAAGGACCACAACUGUAACUUGCCAAGGGCUGUAGGAAUGGGAGAACUUUGCCUGACUUUACAAGUGCUCUAGGAGACAUUUUGCCAAUCAUGAAUCAAAUUUCCCAUUGCCUUUUCUGUUUGCUUUUUCUUUGUUGUUUGGUUUUCCUUUCUAUGCCUUGUUGAGCUUUUUACAUUCCUAUUCUUAAUGGACUCCUGUGUACAAAAAGCAUAUUCCACUCCUUUCACCAGACCGUAGUAAACUCUGAGACAACUUUCCUUAUAAAUGCAAGAAAUAUUUCAUAUAUAUAUAUAUUUGUAUGUUAAAGCCAAUGUAGAGUAGCGAGAACAUAAAAAGUCUGACAGGA
rnacentral:lncRNA from 1 species